CCUACGGGCGGCUGCAGUGGGGAAUAUUGGACAAUGGGCGAAAGCCUGAUCCAGCCAUGCCGCGUGUGUGAAGAAGGCCUUCGGGUUGUAAAGCACUUUCAGUGGGGAAGAAAGCCUUGGGGCUAAUACCCUCGAGGAAGGACAUCACCAACAGAAGAAGCACCGGCUAACUCCGUGCCAGCAGCCGCGGUAAUACGGAGGGUGCGAGCGUUAAUCGGAAUUACUGGGCGUAAAGCGCGCGUAGGCGGUCUGAUAAGCCGGUUGUGAAAGCCCCGGGCUCAACCUGGGAACGGCAUCCGGAACUGUCAGGCUAGAGUGCAGGAGAGGAAGGUAGAAUUCCCGGUGUAGCGGUGAAAUGCGUAGAGAUCGGGAGGAAUACCAGUGGCGAAGGCGGCCUUCUGGACUGACACUGACGCUGAGGUGCGAAAGCGUGGGUAGCAAACAGGAUUAGAUACCCUAGUAGUC
rnacentral:rRNA from 1 species